UGAGUACGAGAUGCUACGGCAUCGAAGCAGUCUAUGUCAUACUUCCAAGAAAAGCUUGCACUGUCAUAAACAAAGAAUGCCUGUACCAUAACCGACACAGGUGGGUAGGUAGAGUAUACUAAGGGGCGCGAGAUAACUCUCUCUAAGGAACUCGGCAAAAUGACUCCGUAACUUCGGGAGAAGGAGUGCCUUAUUUCUAAGGUUGCAAUAACAAGAUCCAAGCAACUGUUUACCAAAAACACAGGUCUCCGCUAAGUCGUAAGACGAUGUAUGGGGGCUGACGCCUGCCCAGUGCCAGAAGGUUAAAGAAGUUGGUUAGCAUUAGCGAAGCUGAUAACUGAAGCCCUGGUGAACGGCGGCCGUAACUAUAACGGUCCUAAGGUAGCGAAAUUCCUUGUCGGGUAAGUUCCGACCCGCACGAAAGGCGUAAUGAUUUGGAUACUGUCUCGGAGAGGGGCUCGGUGAAAUAGACUUGUCUGUGAAGAUGCGGACUACCUGCACCUGGACAGAAAGACCCUAUGAAGCUUUACUGUAACUUGAGAUUGAAAUUGGACUUUAUUUGCGCAGUAUAGGUGGGAGGCGUUGAGAAUAAUCUUGCGGGAUUGUUGGAGCCAUCAGUGAGAUACCACUCUUGUAAUGUUAGGUUUCUAACUUUGUAUCAUUAUCUGGUCAAAGAACAGUUUCAGGCGGGCAGUUUGACUGGGGCGGUCGCCUCCCAAAGGGUAACGGAGGCGCACAAAGGUUUCCUCUGAACGGGUAGAAAUCGUAUCUAGAGUGUAAAGGCAUAAGGAAGCUUGACUGUGAGACCUACAAGUCGAGCAGGGACGAAAGUCGGUCUUAGUGAUCUGACGGUGCUGAGUGGAAAGGCCGUCACUCAACGGAUAAAAGUUACUCUAGGAUAACAGGCUGAUCUCCCCCAAGAGUUCACAUCGACGGGGAGGUUUGGCACCUCGAUGUCGGCUCAUCGCAUCCUGGGGCGGUAGUCCGUCCCAAGGGUUGGGCUGUUCGCCCAUGAAAGCGGUACGCGAGCUGGGUUCAGAACGUCGUGAGACAGUUCGGUCCAUAUCCGGUGUAGGCGUUAGAAUAUUGAGAGGAGCCUUCUCUAGUACGAGAGGACCGAGAAGGACAUACCUCUGGUGUACCAGUUAUCGUGCCAACGGUAAACGCUGGGUAGCUAUGUAUGGAGUGGAUAACCGCUGAAAGCAUCUAAGUGGGAAGCCCACCUCAAGAUAAGUAUUCGC
rnacentral:rRNA from 1 species